GACAUUCAUAGAAAAAAAUUAAUCUGGAAAUAAGCUAAACAUAUUUUAUUUAAAAACUAUAGGAUACAAAACCUGAAAACUAGUAUGAGACUGAAGUACGGACAACUGAGCUGAAGUUCUGCAUGUUUAAAAUGUAAAAACUCCCGGCGGUCAAUUGACAGGGCACAGAACUCCUCAGAAUAAAUAAUUGAAGAAGUUUUCGUGACCUCAAGGAAGUCAGCUGUUCUUAUUGUACUAAAAUAGAGGUUUUUAUUUUUUACAAACGUGGUUUCGCUUAUUCGAGUACUUUCAUCAGCCAAUCGUUGAGACGGCCAGCUUAGAAAAAAUAGAACCCAGGUUUGGGCGAUUGUGAAUGUUGCGUAUCGAAAAGACUCGUCGGGACGGUCUAAUUUUGUUAUAGCCUGAUAAAAUAAUAAUA